AGUCACUACGAGUUUCGAUCCGUGGCUCGAGGACGAACGCUGGCGGCGUGCCUAACACAUGCAAGUCGAACGGAGUGAAGCCCUUCGGGACUUUACUUAGUGGCGAACGGGUGAGUAACGCGUGAGGAACCUGCCUAUCAGAGGGGGGAUAACGAUUGGAAACGAUCGCUAAUACCGCAUAACGCAGCGAGGAGGCAUCUUCAUGCUGCCAAAGAUUUAUCGCUGAUAGAUGGGCUCGCGUCCGAUUAGAUAGUUGGUGAGGUAACGGCCCACCAAGUCGACGAUCAGUAGCCGGACUGAGAGGUUGAUCGGCCACAUUGGGACUGAGACACGGCCCAGACUCCUACGGGAGGCAGCAGUGGGGGAUAUUGCACAAUGGGCGAAAGCCUGAUGCAGCGACGCCGCGUGAGGGAAGACGGUUUUCGGAUUGUAAACCUCUGUCUUCGGGGACGAAAAUGACGGUACCCGAGGAGGAAGCCACGGCUAACUACGUG
rnacentral:rRNA from 1 species